CCACGAGGGACAAAAGUGCGGAAAAGUAUAAUUUCCCGUCGAAGUAACGCGGAAUUGUGAAAAAAAUAUUCUCAGUCGUCUUAGUUGGACGCGUGAACGAUAAAAAAGUCCGACGAGCACCAAGAUUCGUGCGCUACAACACGUGGAAAUCAUUAUCCGACGACGAGAGGAAUACUCCAUUAUACCAUCCGUGAUCCAUUGCGACGAAUAUAUUCUGAAAACGAGCAGUAAUUGAAUGAGUGAAAGAUCAGAUCCGCAUGGUAGGAUUGGGACAAAACCGGAUCACAAUCAGCGCAAAACGGACAGGGUCAUCGGAGUCUAAUCAAGAAGCGUUCCAAGAGACAG